rnacentral:rRNA from 1 species
AUGAACGCUGGCGGCGUGCCUAAUACAUGCAUGUCGAGCGAACAGACGAGGAGCUUGCUCCUCUGACGUUAGCGGCGGACGGGUAAGUAACACGUGGAUAACCUACCUAUAAGACUGGGAUAACUUCGGGAAACCGGAGCUAAUACCGGAUAAUAUAUUGAACCGCAUGGUUCAAUAGUGAAAGACGGUUUUGCUGUCACUUAUAGAUGGAUCCGCGCCGCAUUAGCUAGUUGGUAAGGUAACGGCUUACCAAGGCAACGAUGCGUAGCCGACCUGAGAGGGUGAUCGGCCACACUGGAACUGAGACACGGUCCAGACUCCUACGGGAGGCAGCAGUAGGGAAUCUUCCGCAAUGGGCGAAAGCCUGACGGAGCAACGCCGCGUGAGUGAUGAAGGUCUUCGGAUCGUAAAACUCUGUUAUUAGGGAAGAACAAAUGUGUAAGUAACUAUGCACGUCUUGACGGUACCUAAUCAGAAAGCCACGGCUAACUACGUG